rnacentral:rRNA from 1 species
UGGGGAAUAUUGGACAAUGGAGGAAACUCUGAUCCAGCAAUUCUGUGUGUGUGAAGAAGGUUUUAGGACUGUAAAACACUUUUAGUAGGGAAGAAAAAAAUGACGGUACCUACAGAAGAAGCAACGGCUAAAUACGUGCCAGCAGCCGCGGUAAUACGUAUGUUGCGAGCGUUAUCCGGAAUUAUUGGGCUUAAAGGGCAUCUAGGCGGUAAGACAAGUUGAAGGUGAAAACCUGUGGCUCAACCAUAGGCUUGCCUACAAAACUGUUGAACUAGAGUGCUGGAAAGGUGGGUGGAACUACACGAGUAGAGGUGAAAUUCGUAGAUAUGUGUAGGAAUGCCGAUGAUGAAGAUAACUCACUGGACAGAAACUGACGCUGAAGUGCGCAAGCUAGGGGAGCAAGCAGG